AUGUAAGCCUGAAAGCUAGGUUUCAGUCGUGAGCCAUGUGAAACACGUCUGCAUCGAAAUGGGAGCCGGAUCCUGCUGCAACUGGGGACAGCAAUACCGACAUGCAGUAAUGAGGAUGGCACCAGUAUAAAGCAACACACUCCAUGCACUAAACAGAAGCUGCUGCCUGCUACAACAAGGUCAUUGUGUGGACUUUGGCUGCUACUACAAGAGUCUGUGCCAAGUACAUCUUGGUCAUCACGGGAGCCCCCAU